UGAGGAACAUGACCUUCGGCGGGGGAUAGCCGGCCCAACGGCCGGGUAAUACCGCGUACGACCACAUGGGGACAUCCCCGAGUGGUGAAAGCAGCAAUGCGCCGAUGGAGUGCCUCGCGGCCUAUCAGCUAGUUGGUGGGGUCAUGGCUCACCAAGGCGACGACGGGUAGCUGGUCUGAGAGGACGACCAGCCACACUGGAACUGAGAUACGGUCCAGACUCCGUAGGGAGG
rnacentral:rRNA from 1 species